CCCGGAAGGGGAGUGAAAUAGAACCUGAAACCGUGUGCUUACAAGUAGUCAGAGCCCGUUAAUGGGUGAUGGCGUGCCUUUUGUAGAAUGAACCGGCGAGUUACGAUUUGAUGCAAGGUUAAGCAGUAAAUGUGGAGCCGUAGCGAAAGCGAGUCUGAAUAGGGCGUUUAGUAUUUGGUCGUAGACCCGAAACCAGGUGAUCUACCCUUGGUCAGGUUGAAGUUCAGGUAACACUGAAUGGAGGACCGAACCGACUUACGUUGAAAAGUGAGCGGAUGAACUGAGGGUAGCGGAGAAAUUCCAAUCGAACCUGGAGAUAGCUGGUUCUCUCCGAAAUAGCUUUAGGGCUAGCCUCAAGUGAUGAUUAUUGGAGGUAGAGCACUGUUUGGACGAGGGGCCCCUCUCGGGUUACCGAAUUCAGACAAACUCCGAAUGCCAAUUAAUUUAACUUGGGAGUCAGAACAUGGGUGAUAA
rnacentral:rRNA from 1 species